rnacentral:rRNA from 1 species
AGUGAACGCUGGCGGUAGGCCUAACACAUGCAAGUCGAACGGCAGCACAGUAAGAGCUUGCUCUUACGGGUUGCGAGUGGCGGACGGGUGAGGAAUACAUCGGAAUCUACUUUUUCGUGGGGGCUAACGUAGGGAAACUUACGUUAAUACCGCAUACGACCUACGGGUGAAAGCAGGGGAUCUUCGGACCUUGCGCGAUUGAAUGAGUCGAUGUCGGAUUAGCUAGUUGGCGGGGUAAAGGCCCACCAAGGCGACGAUCCGUAGCGGGUCUGAGAGGAUGAUCAGCCACACUGGAACUGAGACACGGUCCAGACUCCUACGGGAGGCAGCAGUGGGGAAUAUUGGACAAUGGGCGCAAGCCUGAUCCAGCCAUACCGCGUGGGUGAAGAAGGCCUUCGGGUUGUAAAGCCCUUUUGUUGGGAAAGAAAAGCAGCAGGUUAAUACCCCGCUGUUCUGACGGUACCCAAAGAAUAAGCACCGGCUAACUUCGUG